rnacentral:lncRNA from 1 species
AUGCUGAGUUUCUUCCGUAGAACACUAGGGAGUCGGUCUAUGGGUAAACAUGCAGAGAAGGAACGACUCCGAGAAGCACAAUGCGCUGCCACACAUAUUCCUGCCCCUGGAGAUUCCAGGUCCAUCAUCACGUGUCAGGUGUCCCUUCUGGAUGGUACUGAUGUUAGUGUGGACUUGCCAAAAAAAGCCAAAGGGCAAGAGUUGUUUGAUCAGAUUAUGUAUCACCUGGAUCUUAUUGAAAGUGGCUAUUUUGAUCUGAGAUUUAUGGAUUCAGCACAAGUAGCAUCACCAAAGUAAUUCAAUGGAAGAAGAAUAGUCUCAAUAAUGGUGCUGGAUUAGAACCUGUGGAAAAAGGCAAAAAAAAAAAAAAAAUGGUGCCGGAGCAGCUGGAUAUCUAUAAGACAAAAAACCUUGAUCUAAACCUUGUAUCUAUACAAAAAUCAACUCAAAAUGGAUAAUUAAUCU